AGUUGUAAAAAAGGUUUUGCUGACUAAGUUGUGUUUGUCAACAACAUCCAUUCACCACUCCAAUUAGAGAGAUUUCGAACACAACAUCGGCUUCACCACUAUCAGCCACCAUCAAACCAUGGCGAUCUGAAACUCGUUUCACAGAAAUACCAGUAAUUUUUCGGCAUUCCCCUAUUCAGACUUGAGCCAUCGCCAUAUCCCGUUAGGGUUUGCAGACUCUCCAUUCUGGAGCUUGUUUCAGGUGAAUAAUUUGCAAGUCUUGCUUUGUCCGCGCAAUGAUUAAGCUUUGUUCCCAUAGAAAAAAUAUAUUAUCCAAAUGGGUAUUGUUUGCAAAAAUGCACAGCACAAGUGAGGCGAUUCAGGAGAUUGGAGAAGCGAGCGAGAGAGUGAGCAAGGUUAUGAUGACGUGUCCCACACUGGCACUUGACACUGCUCUUAAUCAAACUGGAGUUAGAGUUUCCCCUGAUUUAGUUGAAAAUGUUCUCAAACGAUUUGAGAAUGCGGGCAUGUCAGCAUUUCGGUUCUUUGAGUGGGCAGAGAAGCAGAGAGACUACUCACACAGCAUAAGGGCAUAUCACUUGAUGAUUGAAUCUCUGGCUAAGGUUAGACAGUACCAGAUCGUGUGGGACCUUGUUAAUGCCAUGAGGAAAAAGGGCAUGCUAAAUGUGGAGACUUUUUGCAUCAUGAUGAGAAAGUAUGCUAGGGCUAACAAGGUCGACGAGGCUGUUUACACCUUUAAUGUCAUGGAUAAGUACGAUGUGGUCCCAAAUCUUGCUGCAUUUAAUGGUUUGUUAAGUGCUUUGUGCAAGUCCAACAAUGUGAGGAAGGCUCAGGAGAUUUUUGAUGCUAUGAAGGGUCGAUUUGAGCCAGACGCGAAAACUUAUAGCAUUUUGCUGGAGGGGUGGGGAAGAGCUCCCAAUCUUCCCCGGGCAAGGGAGGUUUUUGGAGAGAUGGUUCGUGCUGGGUGUGAUCCUGAUGUUGUUACUUAUGGUAUAAUGGUUGAUGUUCUUUGCAAAGCAGGGAGGGUUGAUGAAGCAGUUGAGGUUGUGAAGGAAAUGGAUGAGAGCAAUUGCAGGCCUACAUCUUUCAUUUAUAGUGUCCUGGUUCAUACUUAUGGAGUGGAGCACCGAAUUGAAGAUGCUAUUGAUACAUUCCAGGAGAUGGAGAGGAAGGGAAUCAAGGCUGAUGUUGUGGUUUAUAAUGCCUUGAUUGGUGCCUUUUGUAAAGUAAAUAAGUUUAAAAAUGUGCGCAGGGUCUUGCAGGAGAUGGAGAUCAAUGGCGUUGCUCCGAAUUCAAGGACCUGCAAUGUUAUCAUAAGUAGUAUGAUUGGUCAGGGACAGACUGACAGAGCUUUUAGAGUUUUCCGCCGGAUGAUCAAGUUAUGUGAACCGGAUGCUGACACUUACACAAUGAUGAUAAAAAUGUUUUGUGCGAAAAAUGAUCUGAAGAUGGCUCUGAGAAUAUGGAAGUUUAUGAAGUCAAAACAAUUUGUUCCAAGCAUGCACACCUUUUCUGCCCUUGUCAAGGGGCUGUGUGAAAAAGGUGAUGCCGCAAAAGCUUGUGUUGUGCUUGAAGAGAUGAUAGAGAAGGGAAUUCGACCAUCGCGUAUUACGUUUGGGAGGUUGAGACAGUUGCUUUUAAAGGAAGGGAGAGAAGAUGUGCUCAAAUUUCUUCAUGAGAAAAUGAAUCUUCUUGUCAACGAGCCUUUACAUGAUUAAAAAAGGUGAAUGCAGUUGGUGUAGUUAAGCACUGCAAUGUGCAUCGGCUACUGGUUUAAAUUUGCAAGGAAGCCAAUUACAAAAAAGACAAAUGAGGAUAAUAUACAGACAGCUAGAAAUAGGUCACACGGCAGCUGAAAUGAAAAAAUAAGGAAAAUCCAACAACCCAAAAUAAGCAACGUACGGUUAAAGGACUGUGUGGUGAGACAAAUAUCGUAAAGGUCAAGCUGAUGGUGGUUCAUUCUUGUUUUCCUAUGUUCAUCUUUGUUGCUAUGUAAUAUACUCAUAGGAGUGUUUGUUUUCUUAUAAGAAACCCAUUUCCAGGAAGUAAUACAAUUACUCUUUUUUUACAUAUAGCUCUCUCUUACUCGUUUUUAUUGGUUAUAUGUUAGAUUGGUGCUUUCAUUUAUUAUGGCGGAAAAUAUGCACAUGAAAGACCUUACCUUCGAUGUGAAGCGUUUGACGGACAUGAUGAAAGCUCGUGACAAGGGUUACUCUACUUGUUUCAAAACUAUAAAAUCAACAAUGGAGGAGGAUGUUGAAACGUGCUCUUGUUACAAAAUCUUAAACCGUACACUUUUUGGAAGAGCAGGCCUGUGCUAUCCUACAAUCCGUGACAAAUAUUUCGGCCAAUUUGUCUGGUGUCUUGUGCUUGCACAGGCUUGGAUGCUCCCAAUGUGCAGGUUUUCUUUGAGCAGAUUAGAGAGGUUGCUAAACACGAGAUCUAGAUGUUUAAUAUUUGUUACAAAAAAUUAAAUUCCAAGACAGAUAUCUUACUAGAGAAUUUCGGCUGUGUGGUCUUUAGUAUUGCAUUUUUUGGACGGUAUGACAAAGUAGUGCCUAACGGAGUUUAUUCAAUGGAUUUUGUUCAUCAUUAGGGGGUAUUCUGGUAAGUCCGGACCCAUGUAAAAGCCACAAUAAUCCAAUUUACGACUAUUUGAUAUCGGAUUUGUACGUUUUAA